rnacentral:lncRNA from 10 species
ACGCCCCCCGAGGUGGUCUGCACCAAGCGCAGCAACACGGGAGAUGGAGCCCUGCUGUGUGACCCCGGCUGGAGUGCAGUGGCGCAAUCUCGGCUCAUUGCAACCUCCGCCUCCCAGGUUCAAGUGAUUCUCCUGCCUCAGCCUCCCAAGUAGCUGAGAUUAAAGGCGUGCCACAACCAUGCCCGGCUAACUUUUGUAUUUUUAGUAGAGACAGGGUUUCACCUUGUCGGCCAGGCUGGUCUCAAACUCCUAACCUCAGGUGACCUGCCCACCUCGGCCUCCCAAAGUGCUGGGAUUUUUGAAAGCCGUCAGAAGCAUCCCUGAGGGGGUGGAUACAAAAGGAGCAAGAGCAGAGACUCAGUGACUAGAAGGGGAAAGACGGCACCUUUCCAAGGUGGAAAUGUUUGAAAUUGCAGCAGGAAAUUAGUCAGGAGACCUGAACUUGCUAUCUUCAGUUCUUCAGACUCUUACAUCGGGUAGAGGGAGCUGCCUGGACUCAAGGGAAGAGUGAAGAGUGGGAUGGGAAUGGGUGGGUGCGGAGUUCUGGCAUGUAGAUUCUGCCUCACUACAAGGGAGAACUUUCUCACAA